rnacentral:rRNA from 1 species
AGUGCAUACGGUGGAUGCCUUGGCAGUAAGAGGCGAUGAAGGACGUGAUAGCCUGCGAUAAGCUUCGGGGAGUCGGCAAAUAGACAUCGAUCCGAAGAUUUCCGAAUGGGGAAACCCAACUCUCUUUGAGAGUUAUCUAUAUCUGAAUUCAUAGGAUAUAGAAGCGAACCCGGAGAACUGAAACAUCUAAGUACCCGGAGGAAAAGAAAUCAACCGAGAUUCCGUUAGUAGCGGCGAGCGAAUGCGGAUCAGCCCAGUUACUAAAUCAAUAUUCAUUUUAGUAGAAUGUUCUGGAAAGUUCAGCCAUAGUGGGUGAUAGCCCCUUAUACGAAAGGGUGAAUAUUGUGGGUAACAAAGAGUAGAUCGGGACACGUGAAAUCCUGAUUGAAGAUAGGGGGACCAUCCUCUAAGGCUAAAUACUACUUACUGACCGAUAGUGAACUAGUACCGUGAGGGAAAGGCGAAAAGAACCCCUGUGAGGGGAGUGAAAUAGAACCUGAAACCGUAUGCAUACAAGCAGUGGAAGCCUGAUUUAUCAGGUGACUGCGUACCUUUUGUAUAAUGGGUCAGCGACUUACUUUUAGUGGCAAGCUUAACCGAAAGGGGAGGCGUAGAGAAAUCGAGUCUGAACAGGGCGUUCAGUCGCUAGGAGUAGACCCGAAACCGAGCGAUCUAUCCAUGGCCAGGGUGAAGGUUAGGUAACACUGACUGGAGGCCCGAACCCACUUAUGUUGAAAAAUGAGGGGAUGAGUUGUGGAUCGGAGUGAAAGGCUAAUCAAGCUCGGAGAUAGCUGGUUCUCCUCGAAAGCUAUUUAGGUAGCGCCUCGUGAAUAACCCUUGGGGGUAGAGCACUGUCUCGGCUAGGGGGCCAUCCCGGCUUACCAAACCGAUGCAAACUCCGAAUACCAAGGAGUUCGAUCACGGGAGACACACGGCGGGUGAUAAGGUCCGUCGUGGAGAGGGAAACAGCCCAGACCGCCAGCUAAGGUCCCUAAAUCACAGUUAAGUGGAAAACGAUGUGGGAAGGCAUAGACAGCCAGGAGGUUGGCUUAGAAGCAGCCACCCUUUAAAGAAAGCGUAAUAGCUCACUGGUCGAGUAGUCCUGCGCGGAAGAUUUAUCGGGGCUAAAACUGUGUACCGAAGCUGCGGGUCCAAAGCUUUGCUUUGGGCGGUAGAGGAGCGUUCUGUAAGCCUGUGAAGGUGAAUCGAAAGGUUUGCUGGAGGUAUCAGAAGUGCGAAUGCUGACAUGAGUAACGAUAAUGUGGGUGAAAAACCCACACGCCGAAAGUCCAAGGUUUCCUGCGCAACGUUAAUCGGCGCAGGGUGAGUCGGCACCUAAGGUGAGGCCGAAAGGCGUAAUCGAUGGAAAACGGGUUAAUAUUCCCGUACUUUAUGAUAUUGCGAUGGGAGGACGGAGAAGGCUAGGUCAGCCACGCGAUGGUUGUCGUGGUUUAAGCCGGUAGGAAGUGUUCUUAGGAAAAUCCGGGAACACAAUUCCGAGACGUGAUGACGACUUCUGCUCUUGUAGCAGGAUAAGUGAUUGAUGCCAUGCUUCCAGGAAAAGUCUCUAAGCUUCAAAUAUCAUAGAACCGUACCCCAAACCAACACAGGUGGACAGGUAGAGAAUACUAAGGCGCUUGAGAAAACUUGGGUGAAGGAACUAGGCAAAAUAGCACCGUAACUUCGGGAGAAGGUGCGCCUCCAUUAGGUGAAAGUCCUCGCGACUGGAGCUGAAGGGGGUCGCAGAUACCAGGUGGCUGCGACUGUUUACUAAAAACACAGCACUCUGCAAACUCGUAAGAGGAAGUAUAGGGUGUGACGCCUGCCCGGUGCCGGAAGGUUAAUUGAUGGUGUUAGUCCUCGGACGAAGCUCCUGAUCGAAGCCCCGGUAAACGGCGGCCGUAACAAUAACGGUCCUAAGGUAGCGAAAUUCCUUGUCGGGUAAGUUCCGACCUGCACGAAUGGCGUAACGAUGGCCACACUGUCUCCACCCAAGACUCAGUGAAAUUGAAAUUGCUGUUAAGAUGCAGUAUACCCGCGGCUAGACGGAAAGACCCCGUGAACCUUUACUACAGCUUUGCACUGCACUCUGAACAUAUUUGUGUAGGAUAGGUGGGAGGCAUUGAAGCGUAGGCGCUAGCUUACGUGGAGCCAACCUUGAAAUACCACCCUGAUAUGUUUGGGGUUCUAACCUAGACCCGUUAUCCGGGUUGGGGACAGUGUAUGGUGGGUAGUUUGACUGGGGCGGUCUCCUCCCAAAGAGUAACGGAGGAGCGCAAUGGUACCCUCAGCGCGGUCGGAAAUCGCGCAAUGAGUGCAAAAGUAUAAGGGUGCUUGACUGUGAGACCGACAGGUCGAGCAGGUACGAAAGUAGGCUUUAGUGAUCCGGUGGUUCUUUAUGGAAGGGCCAUCGCUCAACGGAUAAAAGGUACUCCGGGGAUAACAGGCUGAUACUACCCAAGAGUUCAUAUCGACGGUAGUGUUUGGCACCUCGAUGUCGGCUCAUCACAUCCUGGGGCUGUAGCCGGUCCCAAGGGUAUGGCUGUUCGCCAUUUAAAGUGGUACGC